rnacentral:rRNA from 1 species
AGCGGCAGGCUUAACACAUGCAAGUCGAGGGGUAACAGGGAUUGCUUGCAAUCCGCUGACGACCGGCGCACGGGUGCGUAACGCGUAUGCAACCUACCUUUUACAGGGGGAUAGCCCAGAGAAAUUUGGAAUAAUACCCCAUACGAUCAUUAAUUGGCAUCAAUUAAUGAAGAAAACUCCGGUGGUAAAAGAUGGGCAUGCGUCCUAUUAGUUAGUUGGUAAGGUAAUGGCUUACCAAGACUUCGAUAGGUAGGGGUCCUGAGAGGGAGAUCCCCCACACUGGUACUGAGACACGGACCAGACUCCUACGGGAGGCAGCAGUGAGGAAUAUUGGACAAUGGAGGCAACUCUGAUCCAGCCAUGCCGCGUGCAGGAAGACGGCCCUACGGGUUGUAAACUGCUUUUAUACAGGAAGAACUAUACCUACGUGUAGGUAUUUGACGGUACUGUACGAAUAAGGAUCGGCUAACUCCGUGCCAGCAGCCGCGGUAAUACGGAGGAUCCAAGCGUUAUCCGGAAUCAUUGGGUUUAAAGGGUCCGUAGGCGGUCUGAUAAGUCAGAGGUGAAAUCCUGCAGCUCAACUGUAGCAUUGCCUUUGAUACUGUUAGACUUGAGUUAUUGUGAAGUAGUUAGAAUGUGUAGUGUAGCGGUGAAAUGCAUAGAUAUUACACAGAAUACCGAUUGCGAAAGCAGAUUACUAACAAUAUACUGACGCUGAGGGACGAAAGCGUGGGUAGCGAACAGGAUUAGAUACCCUGGUAGUCCACGCCGUAAACGAUGGAUACUAGCUGUUCGACCAACAUUGGUUGGUUGAGUGGCUAAGCGAAAGUGAUAAGUAUCCCACC